UAACACGUGGGUAACCUACCUAUAAGACUGGGAUAACUUCGGGAAACCGGAGCUAAUACCGGAUAAUAUUUCGAACCGCAUGGUUCGAUAGUGAAAGAUGGUUUUGCUAUCACUUAUAGAUGGACCCGCGCCGUAUUAGCUAGUUGGUAAGGUAACGGCUUACCAAGGCGACGAUACGUAGCCGACCUGAGAGGGUGAUCGGCCACACUGGAACUGAGACACGGUCCAGACUCCUACGGGAGGCAGCAGUAGGGAAUCUUCCGCAAUGGGCGAAAGCCUGACGGAGCAACGCCGCGUGAGUGAUGAAGGUCUUCGGAUCGUAAAACUCUGUUAUUAGGGAAGAACAUACGUGUAAGUAACUAUGCACGUCUUGACGGUACCUAAUCAGAAAGCCACGGCUAACUACGUGC
rnacentral:rRNA from 1 species